rnacentral:rRNA from 1 species
GCGGCAGGCCUAACACAUGCAAGUCGAAUGGUAACAGGAAACAGCUUGCUGUUUCGCUGACGAGUGGCGGACGGGUGAGUAAUGUCUGGGAAACUGCCUGAUGGAGGGGGAUAACUACUGGAAACGGUAGCUAAUACCGCAUAACGUCGCAAGACCAAAGAGGGGGACCUUCGGGCCUCUUGCCAUCAGAUGCGCCCAGAUGGGAUUAGCUAGUAGGUGGGGUAACGGCUCACCUAGGCGACGAUCCCUAGCUGGUCUGAGAGGAUGACCAGCCACACUGGAACUGAGACACGGUCCAGACUCCUACGGGAGGCAGCAGUGGGGAAUAUUGCACAAUGGGCGCAAGCCUGAUGCAGCCAUGCCGCGUGUAUGAAGAAGGCCUCCGGGUUGUAAAGUACUUUCAGCGGGGAGGAAGGGAGUAAAGUCAAUACCUUUGCUCAUUGACGUUACCCGCAGAAGAAGCACCGGCUAACUCCGUGCCAGCAGCCGCGGUAAUACGGAGGGUGCAAGCGUUAAUCGGAAUUACUGGGCGUAAAGCGCACGCAGCCGGUUUGUUAAGUCAGAUGUGAAAAUCCCCGGCUCAACCUGGGAACUGCAUCUGAUACUGGCAAGCUUGAGUCUCGUAGAGGGGGGUAGAAUUCCAGGUGUAGCGGUGAAAUGCGUAGAGAUCUGGAGGAAUACCGGGUGGCGAAGGCGGCCCCCUGGACAAAAACUGACGCUCAGGUGCGAAAGCGUGGGGAGCAAACAGGAUUAGAUACCCUGAUAGUCCCGCCCGAACCCGA